UGGGGAAUCUUGCGCAAUGCGCGAAAGCGUGACGCAGCAACGCCGCGUGGGGGAAGACGGCCUUCGGGUUGUAAACCCCUUUCAGGAGGGACGAAGGCUCACCGGUGAAUAGCCGUGUGAGUUGACGGUACCUCCACAAGAAGCUCCGGCUAACUACGUGCCAGCAGCCGCGGUAAUACGUAGGGAGCAAGCGUUGUCCGGAAUCAUUGGGCGUAAAGCGCGCGUAGGUGGCCUCAUAAGUCCGCUGUGAAAGUCAAAGGCUCAACCUUUGAAAGCCGGUGGAUACUGUGGGGCUAGAGUACGGAAGAGGCGAGUGGAAUUCCUGGUGUAGCGGUGGAAUGCGCAGAUAUCAGGAGGAACACCAAUAGCGAAGGCAGCUCGCUGGGACGUUACUGACACUGAGGCGCGAAAGCGUGGGGAGCGAACAGGAUUAGAUACCCUGGUAGUCCACGCCGUAAACGAUGGGUACUAGGUGUGGGAGGUGUCGACUCCUCCCGUGCCGUCGCUAACGCACUAA
rnacentral:rRNA from 1 species